rnacentral:rRNA from 1 species
GAUGAACGCUGGCGGCGUGCCUAAUACAUGCAAGUCGAGCGAACGGACGAGAAGCUUGCUUCUCUGAUGUUAGCGGCGGACGGGUGAGUAACACGUGGAUAACCUACCUAUAAGACUGGGAUAACUUCGGGAAACCGUAGCUAAUACCGGAUAAUAUUUUGAACCGCAUGGUUCAAAAGUGAAAGACGGUCUUGCUGUCACUUAUAGAUGUAUCCGCGCUGCAUUAGCUAGUUGGUAAGGUAACAGCUUACCAAGGCAACGAUGCAUAGCCGACCUGAGAGGGUGAUCGGCCACACUGGAACUGAGACACGGUCCAGACUCCUACGGGAGGCAGCAGUAGGGAAUCUUCCGCAAUGGGCGAAAGCCUGACGGAGCAACGCCGCGUGAGUGAUGAAGGUCUUCGGAUCGUAAAACUCUGUUAUUAGGGAAGAACAUAUGUGUAAGUAACUGUGCACAUCUUGACGGUACCUAAUCAGAAAGCCACGGCUAACUACGUG